UCUCUCUCUCUACCUUUCCCUAGCUCUUCGCCCCCUCCGCCUCCGCCACCCGCGCCUUCGCCAAGCCCCGCGCCUCCAUCUUCAUCGGAAGCGAGCCCCGCGCCUCCACCGCCUGCGGCUCUAGCACCCCUACGGGGGACUUCGCUGCAGGCCAGCAGCACCCCACGAGGGGCUUCGCUGCAGGCCAGCCGCACCUGCGUGUCGCCUCGUCGAGCCGCAGGCGAGCUGCAGGUUCAAGCCGUCACCUGCGCGUCGCCUCGUCGAGCCGCAGGAUCAUCUACAAAUCCGACCCAACUCCUCCACCAUAUCUACCAGGUGUCAUCGUCGCGGUGGAAAUCGCUGAGAAAUCGCUGAAGAAUCGUAGGUUGUAGAACUGGGGUCGGGUGGUGAACGAAAAGGGGCUUUUGCCACAGCAACUAUUGAGAACCACCGUCGAGGUUGACCCACUUGGAGACGGGGACCGCCGCUAGGCCCAGCAGUGCCAGCUCCUUGGCCCCAACUGGUCCUCAACUUGUCCCCUGCUUCGACUUCACCUGGAGCGAGGUUCGUGAGGAAAUCCAGAAUAUCUUCCUCCAAAUAGGCUUUGAGGAGAUGCCAACUAACAACUUUGUUGAAAGCAGCUGUUGGAACUUUGAUUCAUUGUUCCAGCCCCAGUAGCACCCUGCUCGCGAUUCACAUGAUACAUUUUUCCUCAAAGGUAUGCUACUGUUUUUUCCUAUUUAAUUGUGCAUGUUGAAAUGAAUUUUGCAAAUAUGAAUUAUAUGAUUAUUAAACGCUCGGCAGUUCCUGCCACUACCAGACAAUUGCCUGAAGAUUAUGUUGAGAAGGUGAAGCGGGUUAGUUGAAUCCUAAGGAAACUCAAGUUUAUUUCCGAAAAAAUUUUCGGCGUGGAAAGAUGCUUAAGAGAAUCAUUACUCCAGAUC